rnacentral:lncRNA from 12 species
UAUGUACAAUGCCUGUACGCUAUUGGUCAAACUAUUUUUCUGUUAUCACCUUCAGCAAGUAUGAAAACAAUGGAAUAUUUUUUUUUUCUUGCAUGUCAUAGCAACAUAUAUAUCGCUAAUGAUUUCUAAAAAAAAAAAAAAAAAAAAAAAAAAAAAAAAAAAAAAAAAAAAAAAAAAAAAAAAAAAAAAAAAAAAAAAAAAAAAAAAAAAAAAAAAAAAAAAAAAAAAAAAAAAAAAAAAAAAAAAAAAAAAAAAAAAAAAAAAAAAAAAAAAAAAAAAAAAAAAAAAAAAAAAAAAAAAAAAAAAAAAAAAAAAAAAAAAAAAAAAAAAAAAAAAAAAAAAAAAAAAAAAAAAAAAAAAAAAAAAAAAAAAAAAAAAAAAAAAAAAAAAAAAAAAAAAAAAAAAAAAAAAAAAAAAAAAAAAAAAAAAAAAAAAAAAAAAAAAAAAAAAAAAAAAAAAAAAAAAAAAAAAAAAAAAAAAAAAAAAAAAAAAAAAAAAAAAAAAAAAAAAAAAAAAAAAAAAAAAAAAAAAAAAAAAAAAAAAAAAAAAAAAAAAAAAAAAAAAAAAAAAAAAAAAAAAAAAAAAAAAAAAAAAAAAAAAAAAAAAAAAAAAAAAAAAAAAAAAAAAAAAAAAAAAAAAAAAAAAAAAAAAAAAAAAAAAAAAAAAAAAAAAAAAAAAAAAAAAAAAAAAAACAAACUGCAGCUGUCCUGCUCUCAAGCUUUUCCUUUACCCGUCCUUACCUCAGACACCCCCCGCCACAAUCACCCAGACAGUGGGGGUGAUAUCCCCAGGCUGUCCCUUUUGGAUCCACAACCCCUUACCCAGAACCCCGCUGUGAGAUUAUAGAUAUUGCAAUCUUUAUUAUGGGGGUUUAUGCUUUAGGCUAUAAUCUGCAAAGGCAAAAUAGGUGGGGAGCAGGGGGACUAAACAGUUGACCUGUUUUUCAUCCCAUUUCAAUAAGACCAUGACCAUAUUUCCCAGUGUUGCUGUGUUUUGUUUAGAUGUACUGUGAACUGAUGUGUUGUCAUGCAGGCUUUUGUCUAUUUUUGUUUAUGCCAUGAGCGGGGUGG